rnacentral:rRNA from 1 species
CAAUAGCGUAUAUUUAAGUUGCUGCAGUUAAAAAGCUCGUAGUUGGAUUUCGGGUGGGAAUGGCCGGUCCGCCGUUUCGGUGUGCACUUGCUACGCCCACCUUGCUGCCGGGGACGUGCUCUUGAGUUCACGCUCGGGACACGGAGUCGGCGAGGUUACUUUGAGUAAAUUAGAGUGUUCAAAGCAGGCCUACGCUCUGAAUACAUUAGCAUGGAAUAACACGAUAGGACUCUGGCCUAUCUUGUUGGUCUGUAGGACCGGAGUAACGAUUAAGAGGGACAGUCGGGGGCAUUCGUAUUUCAUUGUCAGAGGUGAAAUUCUUGGAUUUAUGAAAGACGAACUACUGCGAAAGCAUUUGCCAAGGAUGUUUUCAUUAA